GGGCUUUUCCCUCUUUUGCUCAGCAUUUCUCCUUGCUGCCGCCAGGUGAAGAAGGACGUGUUUGCUUCCCUUUCUGCCAUGAAUGUUUCCUGAGGCCUCUCCAGCCCUGUGGAAAUAAAUGAUUAUUAUUCUUCAAGAAGAAAUCCACUAACAGCAUCCUUUUCAGAAUGAAGAUCUGAAAAGGCAGAGAUUAUCUCCUCUUUAAUGCUGUAUCCCAAAGCCUAGAAGAACCAGAGACUUACUAGCUAUCCAAUAAAUAUUGUUGAGUAAACAAAUGACAGACAUUUGCAUGCAGGCCUCAAAAAUAAGGAGCAGCUGAAGUGAUAGAGGUAGAAUGAGGUAAUAAAUUAUUAGCAAAGAGAGCGGAGUAUUUACAGGCAGCGAUAUACUAAUGAACCUGAAAAUUUGGAGAAUAUUUGGAAAAAUAAAAGAGCUUGCAUCCCUGGAAUGCAAUGAAAAGAAAAGUGCUCAAAAGGUGAUAAUAUACACUGUCAAUUUGUUCACUGCUUUUUUGGAAUGUUUGAAAUUUAUU